rnacentral:rRNA from 1 species
UACGUAGGGUGCGAGCGUUGUCCGGAAUUAUUGGGCGUAAAGGGCUCGUAGGCGGUUUGUCGCGUCGGGAGUGAAAACACCGGGCUUAACUCGGUGCUUGCUUUCGAUACGGGCAGACUAGAGGCAUGCAGGGGAGAACGGAAUUCCUGGUGUAGCGGUGAAAUGCGCAGAUAUCAGGAGGAACACCGGUGGCGAAGGCGGUUCUCUGGGCAUGUCCUGACGCUGAGGAGCGAAAGCUAGGGGAGCAAACGGG